rnacentral:tRNA from 1 species
GGCCGGUUAGCACAAUUGGUAGUGUGUCUGACUACGAAGGUCCUCUGGACCGAGCACAUCAGGAGGUUGCGGGUUCGAGCCCCGUGCUGGUCA